GUUUUGUUUACGGCUAGGGAAAAAUAAAAAAUCGAACAGUCGAAGUUCAGGACUCUUCAUUGCUUCCUGCUCUUUUAAAUUCUGCUAUAGUGGUUGGCUAAUAGAUCAUUGGCUGCUGUGCCUUGUAAUGAUGAACUAUGAAGGUCACUGGAAACCAUAGUUUGCCAUUAAUCAUCAACGUUUUCCAUUAGAUACCAAGUUAGAUACAGAACAGCCGUCACCCACCGCUGAUAAAGGCGUAUCUCCACGGAAGUUCUAGAGCAUGGUUAAUUGGAAAGGAUGCCGAAAUACAGCGGCCGCAAUAAGCGCCGCCAUAUACGAACAUCACUACUUUUCACCAGCAGCAACACUUAUGCUACGUUUUGACAGGGCCAGUGAAUUGAACAACUCAGUUGAAUUCAAUUGACUUGCCAAAAGUUGAACAUGUUCAACUUUCUUUUCGUUCAAGUGAAUUGAAUUAAGGUGUUUACACGUUCAGUUCGCGUUAGAUUCGAUCGACUUGCUCAAUUCACUUGCCUUGUCUAAACGUAGCAUUACGGCAUACCCAAUGAGCGCUCAACAACAGAAUAAAAUAUCUAAAUCUAAAAUUCAAAUAAAAUUUCCAAUCAAAGUAAUAAAAUAAAUCGUGAAACAAUUAA